rnacentral:rRNA from 1 species
UACGUAGGGGGCGAGCGUUGUCCGAAGUUACUGGGCGUAAAGCGCGCGUAGGCGGGCUCUUAAGUGAGGGGUGAAAGGUUCGGGCUCAACCCGAACACUGCCUUUCAUACUGGGAGCCUUGAGUGCGGGAGAGGCGAGUGGAAUGGUCGGUGUAGCGGUGAAAUGCGUAGAUAUCAGUCGGAACACCGGUGGCGAAGGCGGCUUCUUGGGCCGUUUCUGACGCUGAGGCGGCGAAAGCCAGGGGAGCGAA